rnacentral:misc_RNA from 1 species
CCUCAGCAGCGAGAUACUCGAGCACAGCGGCCAGAUACACAGGGGCUCCAGCUCCGACACGCUCGGCGUACUUGCCAGCUUUCAAGAACCGAGCAAUACGACCAACGGGAAACUGCAGACCGGCCUUGCUGCUCCUCGAUGCGCUCUUCUUGGCCGCCGCAGAACCCAACGAUUUCCCCCUUCCGGCCAUCUUCAACGGAGAUAGAGAAAAAGACGGUGGAACUUUCGAGAGAAUUCUGAAAGAAUUUGAGAAGGGACGAAGUGCCUUGUCACUGCGUUGAACAGUUGUUUUCUGAGACACGAGACCG